AGCAGACAGCGCGCUGGCGUAUCUAGUCUAUGUAUAUCUAUGGUCGGCACGUCUGGUAGCAUCUCUGGCUGCUGUUGAUCUUGUUUUUGGAGUAAAACACGGUGGAAGCUGAAUUAGUGAGGAUGACUCCUGCUCCUGUCAUCUCUAAGCUCCUCACACAUCUUUACCUGCACAUGAGGAAAAUCACUCCUGUAGAAUGCAGUGGUUCAUCAGAACCUCUGGGGAUGUCCUGUGGAUCCUGUGGGUUGCAGGGUGGGUCCUACCUAGACCAGGCUGAUCCUGGACCAUCCCACAGAUGCUCAAUCAGAUCUGGAUGUGGGGAGUGUGGAACCCAGGUGAACAGCUUAGCUCUGU